rnacentral:rRNA from 1 species
CUGCUGCCUCCCGUAGGAGUUUGGGCCGUGUCUCAGUCCCAAUGUGGCCGUUCACCCUCUCAGGCCGGCCACUGAUCGUUGCCUUGGUAGGCCAUUACCCCACCAACUAGCUAAUCAGACGCGGAACCAUCGUAUACCACCAGGGUUUUUCACACCGCUUCAUGCGAAGCUGUGCGCUUAUGCGGUAUUAGCACCUAUUUCUAAGUGUUAUCCCCCAGUAUACGGCAGGUUUUCCACGCGUUACUCACCCGUCCGCCA